ensembl:lncRNA
AAAUCCACAAUCUACUGUCCAAAACCUUCAGUACAUGUCUCAGUGACCAUAAUUUUUCAGAUUUUAGAAGGGUAAUGUGGCUUCCAUCUUGUGUAUCAUGUGGCCUCCCCCGGGCCCUGGAAGAGCACGUGGUAAUCAAACACAUACAUCUCUGUGCAGCAAACUUAGGACUAUUCACACUAUAAACUUCUAUAAUGCAGAGAUCUUAGCCUCAUGUCUGUUUAGGAUGGAUUUUGCUGCCAAAUGAGUAACAAACAAACAAAUCUUUCAGUUUUCUAAACUUAUUAAAAGAGUUGGGAUCUGGCGAAUUUCGUCAGUGAGCCAUGGGAAGCAUCCCUGGGUCUGUGACCAAAUCUCGGAUGGGAGGUGAUUAUAGUUGCUGAAUAAUUACCUUGUCUACUGGAUAAGCAUUUUGCAACCCCAGGAAGAUUUAGAAUUUAGUGAAGAAAUGCUUAAAAGAAACAGAUCCCUAAAGUUAAUAUUUUUGUAAGUAAUGUGCAAAAUGUUGGCAUUUUGUAUCCUUGUAAUGUCCUGAUGCAGCUUCCCACUUAUAAAAGAGCCCGAGAACAGAGCACAGCAGUCAGCUGGCAAAAUUCUACUCCUAGCAACUGCCAAAGCCGAAGCAGCCUGCUAACUAGGAGAAAUCCACUAGUUUACCACCAGUUGCUUUUUAAAACAAAAUUAACAACACAAAUGCUCUGUUCUUCUAGCUGCAGUGUGUCAACUGUCUCAGGUUAUCUGUGACUUCAAAAUUCUGGUUUACAAUUCAGAAUGACGUCGCCAGUGGUGACUCAGCUCCCUCCUGGGUUCACCUACCCAGCACACAGCCAGGCACUCUGUUGGCUUCUCACCAAUAUUUGUCACAAGAAGCUGUUUUAAGGAUUACAGAAGAAACUGCCACCAUUGCAGUUCUGAUCUGAAGAUGUGUCAUCCUCCUAAGAGUGUAAAUUCAAGGAGUGGAGUUUGGCUGGUUGUGGCCACAGCCUCUUCUAGAAGCCUGUGCUGGGAGCAGAAAUUCUGUGCACCAUUUAAAGCAGUGCUUCCUACAUUCUAGUGUGCAGGUUCUGACUCAGGAGAUCUGGGGGAAGCCUGAGGUCCCAUGUUUCUAAUAUCCCUCUGGGGCUUCUGCUGCUGCUGCUGCAGGUUCAGGGGCCACACUGAGUAGUGAAACUUCAAAGCACUUCUGCUCCCUGAACUUCCAGUUCUCCCAAGAGGGUUGGCCUCAAGAAGCCAUUUCCAAAAGACCAAACUGGAGAGCAGAGCUGCCCCAGCGUCUACCCAACACUGCCCUCUGCGGGUAGGAGAAAGCAGGGAGUGCUGAGAGGUGAAAGGUGAGCCCAAGUCAAACUGGUGAUGGUGAAGUGUGAUGAAGGGGCUCCAGGGAUGGCUACAGUGGGCAGAGUCCCCAUAGCCUGUGAACAGCACAAACUGGUCAGCACUUACAAUUCACUAACACGCUGCUAUGGGGAGUGAAUGCCUGGACUUCAGCCUCUGCAGAGUAACAGAGCAAAGCGCAGGUGCGGUGCUGUAUUUAUCACAUCAGGAGCUAUCUCUCGGGCUGCAGUCCUGUGAGGUCGGGGGUUUAUGAGGAAUGUGCACCCCUUACUCAAGCUCAUUUGCUCUCUAGAAGGAGGCGACAGGCCAAAUAGAUUAGAGUUGGAAAGCAUCCAUCCGUAUCCAUGUCACAUGUUCCUGGGGGCUUCGUGUGC